GCGGCGAACGGGUGAGUAAUGCUUGGAUAAUCUGCCUUUAGGACUGGGACAACUACAGGAAACUGUAGCUAAUACCGGAUAUGACCACAUUUACCAAGGUUUAUGUGGUAAAAGAUUUAUCGCCUUUAGAUGAGUCCAAGUCGCAUCAGGUUGUUGGUAGGGUAAUGGCCUACCAAGCCUAUGACGCGUAGCAGGUCUUAGCGGAUGAUCUGCCACAUGGGGACUGAGAUACGGCCCUGACUCCUACGGGAGGCAGCAGUGAGGAAUAUUGGGCAAUGGACGAAAGUCUGACCCAGCGAUGCCGCGUGAAGGAUGAAGGCCUUAGGGUUGUAAACUUCUGUCAGCAGGGAAGAUAAUGACGGUACCUGCAGAGGAAGCCCCGGCUAACUCCGUGCCAGCAGCCGCGGUAAUACGGAGGGGGCAAACGUUACUCGGAUUUACUGGGCGUAAAGGGUCCGUAGGCGGUUUUUUAAGUUAGAUGUGAAAGCUUGAAGCUUAACUUCAAAAUUGCAUCUAAAACUGGAUUACUUGAUUAUUGGAGAGGUUGAUGGAAUUACCGGUGUAGCGGUGAAAUGCGUAGAUAUCGGUAGGAACACCAGUGGCGAAAGCGAUCAACUGGCCAAUUAAUGACGCUGAGGGACGAAAGCGUG
rnacentral:rRNA from 1 species